ACAAAGCAAAGUGACCUGUCUUGAAAAUAACCGUUUAGAUUAUCUAGUGUGCAAGGAAAUCUGCCUAUUUCUGGCCAGACAUUUAAAAAUCUCAAAGGGGUCUUCAAGAGGACCCGUUUUGAAGACGGGGAUGACGGAGCUGUGGAGUAUCCUGGAAUAAUACUCCCAGGAGUGCAUGGAGGCACAUCAGAGAAGGCUGGGAAGUCCUGGAACUUUUCUGACCCACCUUGCACAUAGUUGGAUGAUCUUUCUUGAUUUUUAACGUUUUUUUUAACGACAUUUUCUACCAUGCUGAUGUCUCACAUACUGGAAAACUGUCACUGGGUGAGCUGAGGAAUGCAAUCAAGGCGUCAGGUAGUCCACCAAAAGAUUUUUCUCACAAGCAUCUGCAGUAAGUUUGGCAAGCAGCAUGAGAGUCAUAUGCUUCAAUAAACCCAUGCAGGAACAAAAUAUUCAUUCAGCGUAACACACAAAUAUAAAAAACUUUCAGCAAAUACCAAAGGACAGAGUUCCAAAAAGAAAAUCCAGAAAUUUGCAAAUUUGCAAAUACCGAACUGCAAAAAUGCAGGAGUUCAAUGUAACUGUGCUUUAAGAAUGCUCCUGAUCU